rnacentral:rRNA from 1 species
UACAUAGGGUGCAAGCGUUGUCCGGAAUUACUGGGCGUAAAGAGCGUGUAGGCGGCACUUUAAGUCGCAACCUUAAAUACAGGGGCUUAACCCCUGUCAGGGUUCGAUACUGAUGUGCUAGAGAUUGGGAGAGGAAAGCGGAACUCACAGUGUAGCGGUGAAAUGCGUAGAUAUUGUGAGGAACACCCGUGGCGAAGGCGGCUUUCUGGACCAUUUCUGACGCUGAGACGCGAGAGCGUGGGGAU